rnacentral:rRNA from 1 species
UGAGGAAUAUUGGUCAAUGGGCGAGAGCCUGAACCAGCCAAGUAGCGUGCAGGAUGACGGCCCUAUGGGUUGUAAACUGCUUUUAUAAGGGAAUAAAGUGGGUCUCGUGAGACUUUUUGCAUGUACCCUAUGAAUAAGGACCGGCUAAUUCCGUGCCAGCAGCCGCGGUAAUACGGAAGGUCCGGGCGUUAUCCGGAUUUAUUGGGUUUAAAGGGAGCGUAGGCCGGAGAUUAAGCGUGUUGUGAAAUGUAGACGCUCAACGUCUGCACUGCAGCGCGAACU